GAUGAACGCUGGCGGCGUGCCUAAUACAUGCAAGUCGAGCGGACGGACGGGAAUCUCGCUUCGCUGAUGUUAGCGGCGGACGGGUGAGUCACACGUGUCUAACCUGCCUAUAAGGCUGGGAUACCGUCGGGAGACCGGAUCUAAUAUCGGUCCAUAUGUUGAACCGCAGGGUUCAUCAGUGAUAGCGCUACUUGCUGUGCCUAAGACAGGUUACCGGGCUGCAUUAGCUAGUUGGUAAGGUAACGGCUUACCAAGGCGACGAUGCGUAGCUGACCUGAGAGGGUGAUCGGCCACACUGGAACUGAGACACGGUCCAGACUCCUACGGGAGGCAGCAGUGGGGAAUAUUCCGCAAUGGGCGAAAGCCUGACGGAGCCACGCCGCGUGUGUGGUGAAGGUCUUCGGAUCGUAAAGCUCUGUUAUUUGGGAGGAACAGAUGUGAGUUAAACUCUGGACAUCUUGACGGUACCUAAUGAGAAAGCACCGGCUAACUACGUG
rnacentral:rRNA from 1 species